AGGCACCUCUGCCUCAGUUUCCUCAUCUCUAAAAUGGGGUGAUGGUAGUAUGUUAGCAGAGUGGUUGUGAGGAGUGAACGGGACAGUCCGUAUGUGGGUUAUAUGUAUAUAUUCCCAGGUGCUUGCUGUUACCAGGCCAUAUGGGUUAUUCACAGAUUGAAAUAUCUUAGCUGGGCACGGUGGCUCACCCCUAUAAUCCCAGCACUUUGGGAGACCGAGGCGGGUGGAUCACCUGAGGUCAGGAGUUCGAGACCAGCCUGGCCAACAUGGUGAAACCCUGUCUCUACUAAAAAAAUACAAAUAAAUUAGCUGGGCAUGGUGGUGGGUGCCUGUAAUCCCAGCUACUUGGGAGGCUGGAGUGCAGUGGGGCGAUCUCGGCUCACUGCACCCUGCACCUCCUGGGUUCAAGUGAUUCUCCUGCCUCAGGCUCCCAAGUAGCUGGGAUUACAGGCGUGUGCCACUGUCAGGCCUCUGAGCCCAAGCCAAGCCAUCGCAUCCCCUGUGCCUUGCACAUAUACACCCAGAUGGCCUGAAGUAACUGAAGAAUCACAAAAGAAGUGAAAAGGCCCUGCCCCGCCUUAACUGAUGACAUUCCACCAUUGUGAUUUGUUCCUGCCCCACCUUAACUGAGUGAUUAACCCUGCAAAUUUCCUUCUCCUGGCUCAGAAGCACCCCCACUGAGCACCUUGCGACCCCCCACUCCUGCCCGCCCUUUGACUGUAAUUUUCCAUUACCUUCCCAAAUACUAUAAAACAGCCCCACCCCUAUCUCCC
rnacentral:lncRNA from 1 species